GCGAACGAGGCGAAUGCAGGAAGGACAGAUAUAGAUUAAACAACAACAGGCAUGGCAACCUCGGCUGCAUUUAAGAACGCAAACAUAUUUGCAGACAUCAUCCGGGACUUGAUAACGCGUUAUCAACGGCGGUUACGGUGCAGCUGAUUGUCAUAUAGCUCGUUUAUCACGAGCGCGAGCUACAAGCGUGAACUUCGCGAAUUUGCUAUUUUAAUCGGUGCCGUGAUGUAAUUGUAUGCAUAAUAGUGGUUGCAGUUAAAUAUAGUCGGGAAAUAGUAGGCAUCGAUCAACGAACACGCAUGUGCAAACUGAGAUCGAUCACUAAGAUCAAAUUUUAUUUUCUUCUUUACUUAAAAAAUCUCAAUCAGUGUGGGGCUCGUUACGUUAUUUCCACGGAGAAAUGUUUUGAUGAACUUCAAUCACCGGUGGUUACCAUCGUUCAUUAUAUUUAUAUUUUUGCGACGAAGGGAAAAAGAAUGAAGAGAAUACGAAAAUCG
rnacentral:misc_RNA from 1 species